rnacentral:rRNA from 2 species
CCGCGGCCUAUCAGCUUGUUGGUGAGGUAAUGGCCCACCAAGGCGAUUACAGGUACGGGCUCUGAGAGGAGAAGCCCGGAGAUGGGUACUGAGACAAGGACCCAGGCCCUAUGGGGCGCAGCAGGCGAGAAAACUUUGCAAUGUGCGAAAGCACGACAAGGUUAAUCCGAGUGAUUUCUGCUAAAGAAAUCUUUUGCAAGUCAUAAAACCACUAGUGAAUAAGGGGUGGGCAAGUUCUGGUGUCAGCCGCCGCGGUAAAACCAGCACCUCAAGUGGUCAGGAGGAUUAUUGGGCCUAAAGCAUCCGUAGCCGGCUCUGUAAGUUUUCGGUUAAAUCCAUGUGCUCAACGCAUGGGCUGUCGAAAAUACUGCAUAGCUAGGGAGUGGGAGAGGUAGACGGUACUCGGUAGGAAGGGGUAAAAUCCUUUGAUCUAUCGAUGACCACCUGUGGCGAAGGCGGUCUACCAGAACACGU